GGAUGGGUCUUGACCCGUUAGGGUUGUUCUUGUGAUAAGAGGAAGGGAGACCAGUGCGCCACUGUCUCCACGCACACACACCCGGGAAAGGCCAUGUGAGGGUACAGCAAGAGGACCACCUUCCCCAACCCAGAUGAGAGCCCUGCCAGGGUCCGGCCGUGCUGGUGCCCUCAUCUCAGACGCGGGAGGAAAUGAAUUUCUGCUCUUUGGAGUCCACAAUGUUGUCAAAAUGGCAGCCUGAUUAGACUGUGUUCGGGAACAGACGCAUUGAGGAAAACUUCUAGUGACCAAGGCAGCCUGUGCCUGUCAGCUUUGCGUUGUAAGUCCCGGUAGAGUUUCUUCACUGCUUUUGUUAUCCAAGUUGAGAAAACCGGGCACACAUCAAACAUGGAGACACACAGGUCUCACCCCAAGGCCUCUGCAGGGCCUUCCCCGCACAGCGUCCGCAUUCGGCUCCCUCUAUGACGUCAUUUCUCUGUGUCCUCAGGGUGCUGCCUCCUGAGAGGAUCACUGCGGAGCACCAUGCGCAGACCCGGAAGUACGAUUCACUGCUGAGCAGCCAGCGGCAGGUGGGGGCGGGGGCACCCUCAGAACUCCCAGCAGCCACCGCUGGCGCAGGGUGCGAGGGGAGCAGUUGCAGGACCACGUGGGAGGAGUCGCGUGGUCCGCUCCACAGAGACACAGGAACGAUGGACAAGAGAGGAGGAGCAGACAAGGGCAGUGAGGGCUUCUUAGUCCAGAGCAGGCACCACGGGCUGGUGACGGGGCAGGUGUGAGGGGCUCGAGGCAGCCGCACUCGUCGGCUUCCUGACGUGGGAGCUGCUGUGUGCGUAUGUCCCCUGGGACACCUGUGGAACUAGAUCAGUUGCUGAGUAUUUCCGGGACUUUCAAAAACAAGAUUCAGAAAAUACUGUUGAGCAAGUGCAUGUCCAACAGUGCAACCUGAGAUGAUUUGGAAAUUGAAGGAAAACAAAACGUCAAACUACUGAUCAAGGAAAUGAAGCCAUGAUGGGAAGAGGAGGAGGAGGAGGGGGAGAGCAGAGAUCUGGAGGAGGCCAGCCUGCCACCAAGGACCGGAACAGAACCGGAGCUGACGGUCUCUGACAGGUUUCCAAACCUCACCCUAACUGACACAGCAGGCUAAAGGACAAUUUCUUAAAAGCUCAUGGACAAAAAUCCAGCCGUGGGACUUCUGGGGACUGCAUUCCAGGCAUCCUUUGAACUGUGGAUUGUAGAGGGUUCUAUUUCAAGCUUCACCCUGAAAGGACAAUAGGCUUGACAAGAUGUCACCCUCCCUCCCACCAGAGACCCCAGCACAGAAACCAUGCUCGACCUCCCCCAGACUCCUACCAAAACAGCUGGCAGAUAACCUGCAUGGAGCAGCCUGUGAAACAGCUAAGAGGAAAGUUCCCAGUGGCUUCUGAAAAGCCUUCCUUCCCACCCGCAGCAAGUUCCUGCCUCAGCCAGAUAAAAUCCAGCCCCUCACGUGCCCUCACACAGUCUCUGUGAGAACAGACUCUCCUCCCUCUUUGCUACACUAAAAGCAACCUGUCUGUUGAGGCCCAACUCUGCUACUUCCAGGGACUGGACUUCAGGCCCCCUGUGAACAUCAGAGUACAGUUACAUGAUAAGAAGAAGGUGGACAUCAAAUGCUCACUUCCUACAUCCUCAUCUAUGGCAUGAGGAUGUGUUGCCCUCCGGGAAUUAAGAAUUUGUAUGUGAUAUUUUCUUCAGAGUACUACUGUACUUGUAAUCUCUUCACCUAUGUCUCACUUCUCUGGAGAAUAUUCUACUUCUAAUGAAUGAAGACCAGUGUGUGUGUUUGAACUGCUUUUUUAGAAUUUACACAGCAGACACAAUUCUUUCCAACAAGGAAUAUUUUUAACAAAUUCAGAGUAAACACUCAUAUUUUACCAGUCAAAAAGAGUUAUUAAUUUCUAAAAUUACAAAAUGCAAUACCAGGUUUCCAAGUGGGGAUUUUGCCUCUCCUCAUUUAACUACAGUAUUUGGAGACAUUUUUGUUCUCAAAUAUGUGGCAGAGCUCCUGAGACACAGUUGGUAGAGGCUGGGAAUGCAACUAAAUUUCCCACAAUGCACAGGACAGCCCUCAAACAUUCUGGCCCCAAGAGGCAGACACAUACAUGGUUGAUGAAUGCAGUCUAACAAAGCAAUCCUGUGUCUUUCUCCCUACACCACAUCUAAAACUUUAGCUCAACAUUUUUUGUGCAUUGUCAUGCAACAGAAACAGUUGGUUCACAAACAGAACAGGAAGAGUAUGACAGUCAUUGAGGCUGACUUGGUGCUUCAUCUCCGUUUAUUGGACUAAGGAGUUUUGCUUAUGUCAUUCCCUCAGAGACCAUGUCUUUGUCAUGUAAGGCAUCACCUUCCUUCCUACAGAGAUUGUUAGUGAAUUACAUACAUGUCUCCUCCAGACUGACCACAUUCAUAGAGUAUCUGAACUUCCUUAGCUCCAUUCCCAGAUUCACAACAACUGUCAUCUGGCAUCAACUCUACUACAGUGCUGACUUCUAAUCAUCUAACAGAGGAAAGAAAUCCUAUGUGCAACAAACCAUAAAGAGUACUUGUCUUCCGUUCUCCUAUUCAUGCCUUCAAAUUUCUUUAUAAUUUAGUACUACAUUAGAUGGAAUAACUUGAAAUUGUGUUACCUAAUAUGGUCAACAAUGUUAACUACUCUUAAUUCUAAAAAGUAUCCUAUAUUUGCCAGUGCUUUGGGAUAGCCAGUGAGAGCUGCUGCCUGCAAUGCCACAUCUCAUGUGGGCACCUGUUCGAGACCUGGCUUCUCCACUUCCAAUCCAGCUCUCUGCAAUGGCCUAGGAAAGCAGCAGAAGAUGGCCCAAGUCCUUGGGCCCCUGCACCAGCAUGGAAAGACCUGGAGGAAGCAUCUGGUCCUGGCUUGGAAUUGGCACAGCACCAGCCAUUGCGGCCAACUGCAUAGUGAACCAGUGGAUGGAAGACCUCUGGCUCUGCCUCUCCUUCUCUCUCUGUGUAACUCUGACUUAAAAAUAAAUGAAUAAAUCUUUUUAAAAAAUAUCCUCGGGAGUGCAUUAAGAGGAAUGGAAAGAAUCUGGGAUUCCCAAAAUCUACAUCAAAGUGCCCAGGUUAGAAUCCUGAUACUUCCUCUAAAUCAAUCUUCCUGGAAAUGCACAUCCUAGGAGCAGCACAUGAUGGUUUGAGGGAAUCAGCACGUGACACUCAUGUGGAAGGUGUAGGUGAACUCCUGCUUCCUGACCAUGGCCGGCUCUGACUGUUUCAGGAACACAGGGCGGGAACCCCUGGGUCACUUUGCACUCACUCGCUUCCAUGCUCUUUCUCCCUUUCUCCCUCCCAAUCUUGUCUGCCUUUCAUAACAUAAAUAUUCAAAUGCAGUUUUUAAAGCAUCCUGUCUUUAAUGUACAGGAUGACAGUUUCUAGUUCACCUUCAGGCUCUUUGACCAUUCAUUCCUUGUCCAGUAUCACAAGGAUGGCCUGUCACUAGCUCAUUCUUCAGUCAAAUUCUCUGCUCACUCCACAUACCUGCUGUUCACAAUUUAAAGUCUCUCCGAAUUGUAUCAUCGAGUUGAACUUGAAGUCAGAACCAUAGAAACAAAGCAGGAAAAUGAAUAAUUCAUACUGUUAAAAUAUCCAUAUAUUGAGAGUGAUCUACAGAUUCAAGGCAAUCCCUAUCUAAAUUCCAAUGGCAUUCUUCACAGACACUAAAAAAAUCUGUUCUAAAUUUCGUAUGGUGCACAAGACACUGGAAUAGACAAACCCAAGCUGGAUCAUCAGAUGUCCUGACAUCAAACUAUAUCAGAGACUUAUACUCACCUAAACAGCAAGGAACCAACCUAAGAAGAGACCCACUGAUGCUGAUGCUGUGAUGCAGCCCCAGGCUACAGUACUGGCAUCCCAGAUGCUGGUUCAAGUCCUGGAUGCACCACUUCUGAUCCAAUUCCUGCUAAUAUACCUGGGAAAGCAGCAGAAGAUGGCACAAGUCCUUGGUACCCUGCACCCACAUGAGAGACCUGGAAGAAGCUCCUGGCAUCAGAUUGGCUCAGCUCUGGCUAUUGCAGCCAUUUGGGGAGUGAACCAACAGAGGGAAGACUUCUCCCUUCCUCUUUAUCUCUUGCUCCCUUUCUCUCUCUCUCUGUUUCAGUAACUCUGCCUUUCAAAUAAAUAAAUAAAUCUUUUUAAAAAAAGAUUCUGUCUCAUUCUCUUUCAAAUAAAUAAAAAUAAAUCUUUAUAAUAAAGAGGUAUUGUAAUAUCUGGGAAAUGGUAUUUGGUUAUGACUCUGAAAUCACCAACAAGAAAAUAGAAAAUAUAUAAGCCAGACUACACCAAAAUAGAAAAUUUUGCACAGAAAAGGAAAUAAUCAACAUGAAAAGUCUGCCCAUAGACUAGGAGAAAAUAUGUGCAAACUAUGUAAUGACUAGGGCAAAGGGUCAGAAUAGAUGUUGUACUAAAGAAUAUAUACAAAGGGCCAGCACGAAUUUGAAAAGACACUCAAUACCUCUAGUCAUCAGGAUAUAACAAAUAAAACACAAAGGGACACCACCUCAUAGUGAUGGAUGGUCAGUAUCCAUGACACAAGAGAUGGAGAGCAGUGUUUAGGGUAUGAAUAAAAAGGAAAUCUUUGGGGCCAAAACUGUGGCAUAGAGGGUAAAGCCACUGCCUGUUGUUCCACCAUUCCAUAUGGAUGCUAGUUUGAGUCCCGGCUGCUCCACUCCUGAUCUAGCUCUCUGCUAUGGCCUGAGUAAGGAGUAAAAGAUGGCCCACGUCCUUGGGCUCCUGCACUCACAUGGGAAACCCAGAAGAGGCGCCUGGCUCUUGGCUUCGAAUCGGCAGAGCUCCAGCAGUUGUAGCCAUUUUUGGAGUAAGUCAGCCAAUGGAAGACCUCCCCCCACCUCUCUCCCUUCUUCCCUCCCUCUCUCCCUCU